UCUCCAGUGUCAAUGUCAAGUGAUCUGGGAUCAGCUAUUUACGCUAGAUCAACCUCUUAAGUCCACUCAAACCGGGUAGAAAGCCUAGACUGGAAUAAGGAAGCCGAUGAGAAGGUUCCGCUAAUGAAGAUAGAAAUCACUCACACGGCACCAUCACAUUAGUUUCCAGCAUGAAUUCCCUCGCAGGAAGAACCGCGAUGAUCCUCUUCCGACGCGCCGCGACACCGGCAGGAGUUUAUCCUUUUCAGGCGUUGAGGGUGUGCCAUGGCGGUGUGAGCCGCAAAGGCAGCGUGAGCACAAAAAAACGGGGCUAUGACAUCACCAGGAACCCUCACCUGAACAAGGGAAUGGCGUUCACCUUGGAGGAGCGCUUGCAACUGGGCAUCCACGGCCUGCUGCCCCCUUGCUUCCUGUCCCAGGAUGUCCAAGUGCUACGCGUCAUGAAGAGUUACGAAACGCGUGUGAAUCCUCUGGACAAGUACAUCCUGCUGAUGACUCUCCAGGAUAGGAACGAGAAGCUCUUCUACCGAGUGCUGACCUCUGACAUCGAAGAGUUCAUGCCAAUCGUGUACACGCCCACUGUGGGCUUGGCCUGCCAACAGUACGGGCUGGCCUUCAGACGGCCGCGCGGACUUUUCAUCACCAUCCAUGAUAGAGGCCACAUUGCCACCAUGCUCAACUCCUGGCCUGAAGAGAACAUUAAGGCCAUCGUGGUGACAGACGGCGAGCGAAUCCUCGGGCUGGGCGACCUGGGCAGCUACGGCAUGGGCAUUCCUGUCGGGAAGCUGGCGCUCUAUACGGCCUGUGGCGGAGUGCAGCCGCAACAGUGCCUCCCUGUGUUAUUGGACGUGGGCACGGACAACCAGAACUUGCUCAACGACCCCUUGUACAUCGGCCUGAAGCACAACAGGAUCCGAGGAAAGGAGUACGACGCGCUAAUCGAUGAAUUCAUGCAAGCGGUGACGGACAAGUACGGCAUGAACUGCUUGAUCCAGUUUGAGGACUUUGCCAACAGCAACGCCUUCCGCAUUCUCAACAAGUACAGGAAUCGCUACUGCACCUUCAACGAUGACAUCCAGGGCACGGCCUCUGUCGCAGUUGCUGGGCUUUUGGCGGCUCUGAAGAUCACCAAAGACAAACUGUUAGACCACACCUUCGUUUUCCAGGGCGCUGGCGAGGCCGCUCUGGGGAUUGCUCACUUGCUCAUGAUGGCCAUGGCCAAGGAAGGUGUCUCCCGGGAAGAAGCUGCCAAAAGGAUCUGGAUGGUGGACUCCAAAGGCCUUAUUGUGAAGGGGAGGAGUCAUCUGAACCACGAGAAGGAAGAGUUUGCACAUGAGCACCCCCACCUGAAGACUCUGGAGGAGGUGGUGCACACCAUUAAACCCACCGCCAUCAUCGGAGUCGCCGCCAUCGCAGGGGCGUUCACCGAGAAGAUAAUCAAAGACAUGGCGUCCUUCAACGAGCGGCCCCUCAUCUUCGCCCUGAGUAACCCCACCAGCAAGGCAGAGUGCACGGCGGAGCAGUGCUACACGCUAACCGAGGGCAGAGGCAUCUUCGCCAGCGGGAGUCCCUUCAACAAGGUGACGCUGGCCGACGGCCGCUCCUUUUACCCCGGCCAGGGAAACAAUGCCUACGUCUUCCCCGGGGUGGCCUUGGGUGUCAUCGCCUGCGGAGUUCGCCACAUAUCAGACGACAUCUUCCUCACUACAGCAGAGGCGAUCGCCGACAUGGUGACAGAGGAGCACUUGGCCGAGGGACGACUCUACCCUCCUCUCAACUCCAUCAGGGAGGUGUCCUUCAAGAUUGCUGUCAAGAUUGUCAACUACGCAUACAAACACAACAUGGCGUCGCUGUACCCCGAGCCCAAGGACAAGGAGGCCUUUGUGCUGUCUCACGUCUACAGUCCCGACUACGACUCCUUCACGCUGGACACGUACACUUGGCCGCAGGAAGCCAUGAACGUCCAAGAUGUGUGACUUGACUCCCCCACCCACCCCGUGUGGCAUCAUCAAGUACACCAAGUACACUCCUUCCUCUCGGUCUGUACUCCAAAUCAUCCAGCUUGCUGUCAUCAAACUCGACAAUCCUGAUAAAUUCCAGAGACACCAACCAGAGGAUCCUUAUGACAUCCAAAUUGUCUGGGGAAUGUGUGUGCCUUACACCACGGACCUGCUUUGGAUGGCAUGAAACAUCAGCACCAGGACUAAAGGCCACAGGACAGACGUCAUCGUUGGACGGUUGGACAGGACAAGGGGGGCGACGAGCAGUUACUAUUGCAAAUAUUCACCACGAGAGUGCGCUGUAUGCUAAGGAGUGUGAUCAUGUGCCUGGCAGUGGCUAUAGGCGUGCUAAUGAAUCCAUGGAUCAAUCCACGAGUCAUUGUCGAAUAACGAACUCAUGUUUGUUCCUUGUCUAUACAUAGCAGCAACAACAACGUGUAAACAAUGUAAAGUAUUUCCUGCAUGAAAGACAGUAGCGACAGACACACUUCCGGGUCCCGUCUCGAGCCCUUAAGCCUUCUGGGGUAUGUAUGUAAACACUUAUCAUUUCUCAAUGUUGUCAACGAAAGCAGGGAUAAAAUACGCUCAUUUGUUGUAAUUUGUAUACGUGGCAUCAAAACGGACGGCAACUCCGAUUACACGUGGAAGUACGUAACCAUAAAAACCACGGCAACGUCGACUCUUCCGGUCCGUCUGGGACGCACCACUUCCCGUAGCCGGCAAUGACAACACAACUGAACACAAAAUACAGUUUUCCAAUUAAACUUUUUAUUGUGGAGGGAGAAAAAAAUAUCAAUCCUACAGGCCCCGUGUGGAAAAACUGAUUCCCCCUAAACUUGAACUGGUUGGGCCUCCCUGAGCACCAACAACUGCAGGCUGUGGAGGACCUUUGGUUUGGUUCCAGCAUGAAGCUCCUUUUUCAGGUCAUGCCACAGCAUCUCAAUAUGAUUCAGAACCCAAGUUGGUUUCAGCUCAAGGUCACCAACAGAUGGCCGGACAUUCUCCUUCAGGAUUUCUUGGUAGGCAGAAGAAUUCAUGGUUCCAUACAGUAACUCUUCCAGGUCCUCCCUGGAAGUUCAUAAUUUAAUCCUGUCAGACGAACCCUGAGAGGACAUCGUCUUUGGCAUUUCUAGGGACAAACGUGGGACAACAUGAGGUCUACCGUGUUCUUCACGAUGGCCGGUGGUGGGUGGAGGAGGUGAGGGUGAUGGUGCGCCAGGCUCAUCUGCCAGGCGUCCACCAAUAAGACGUCCAACCCUUUAAACAUGGCGCGCAGCACGGCGUCCAGCUGCUGCGAGAACCAGUCGCUGUUGUACAGGCUCACCUGCUGGUCCAGGGCCUGGGGGUUGGCCGAGCGGAUCACGACCAGCGUCCCCGGCGCUCGGUCCAGAAGUUGCGCCACAGCCUUGCGGAUGUGCCGCAGGCGGCGUAUGUACACCUCCACGGGGAAGGUGCUGAAGUGAGACCAGAUGCUGAUGGCCACCACCGUGUUGGGACCCCCCGUCAGGCCGUCCAGCUCGUUAGAGAUGUACCGCAACUCGCUCGCCAUGACGGUGGAGAAGCGGAUGGGUGGUCCGUGACAGCGGUACUUCACCAGAAUAUUGUGAGUGCUGUCCACCGCCAUGAAGGGUCCUACCAUUUUAGGACUCCGAAGGUUGAAUUCCUUCAAGUCUGAUGAACAGAAUGAGGCCACAGUUGGUGGGAAUAAAAGCAUUCAUGUUUACCAGAUGAAAGCGCUCACCUGCCAGUGCUUUCACCAGGAAGUCAAACCACUGGCGAAUGGUGGAGUCGCCGUACAGGUGGACCACCUUAUUGGUCAAACACUGAGCGAUGGCGGAUGAGUCAAAGUGGCGCAUUGCGAUGUCGCCUAAGGUUCUCCAUGAUUCCUGGUAGUAGUACCCGGACGUCGCUUGGUUGACAGCAUCUGGUUUUAAACGCUUGCUUUCUACGUCAAUACAAUUUCAUGAAUAGACUCCAUGCAAAAAAACAAGCAAUGGGUUUCUUUGGGGGUCCUACCUGUCCUUGAAGGCAGCACGCUGAUUGUGUCGUUUCCGGAAGCCCGGAUGGGAACUUUGAUGUUGACACCACUGACAGAGGAAAAGGAGGAUCAGCAUUACAACUGCGAGUACUACAGUUACUGCAAACAGUACAUCAGGUACACCUGCACAGUCGACUGGAUCUACAGUCUAGGUUUGGUGCUAAAAUAAAGUUCUACUCUGAUCUUCAUCCUGGUUCCAGUUGGAAUAACUUUUGAUUGGAAACCAAGUUAGCUUAACACCUGUGUCGUUCUUCAAAUGACGGAGGGGCCCUGAGUCUUUUAGUGGUUUUGGGGGUGCACGGAUUGUUCUGUGAAAUCAGUCUUUUCAGCACCAAGUUUUACCACCGUGUUUUUGGAGGGGAGGACAAUUCUACUACCCCAGCGUACUUCUACUACAUUUGACCGACACUUUCCAACUGGAACUUUCCAACUGUAGCGCCCCUAUAGCCUUCAAAGACGUCGUACCUGAACCUGGAUUCCAGGGGUCAAUAAAUCAUUGUGCUUGAUAAAACCAAGUUCUGCUGGAAAGGUAGAUCAAGCUGAUGGGGGGUGGCACGCAUUAUUGUUAGGUUUUUCAAGGUCUCUGAUCCGGUAUUAUUAGCUUGUGCAGGUGUAGCUAAUGUCAGUCAAUCACAGAGGGAGCGCGCAAACCUCUGAAAGAGCCUGGCUUCCUUGUCCGUGGUGAUGUUUUUGAGGUAGCCUCCCUUGGCAUGGUUGAUUCUUCUGUGGCAGCUGAGCAGCCGAGGCUUGUAACAGUACCAAGGCUCGCCGGUGCGAGGGUCCGUGUAGUCACACAGCGGCCCCCGGUCGGGCGGUAGGCACAUGUUACACACGGUGGUCUGAGAUUGAUGACCCAGACGGUAGAGACUGUUGAAAUACACGCGAUCGGGACGCUCUUCCCUCAGUCGCUGCAGCACGGCAACGGCUUCGCUGGAGUGCACCAUGGUGACCUCCACCUGAGCCGACCCUUCCCACAACAGAAGGAAUCGAACAGAGUAGAGUCCGUUCUUGUGGUCCGAUACCACCCCGGCCACACCUGCCCCAUAUUCCGGGGAAUGCAGUCGAGCUAGAAGAAAAUCGCCACCAUAGCCCUUGGGUCGGCCCUUGAAGUCGUACACCUGGACGAUGACUUCUAGCUGGUCGCCCACGUACCAAUGGCCCUUCUUCUCUGAGGGGAGGAUGGUGAAGGAGCUGUGGGCCGGGUCGCUGGUCUCGAGCAAGGCGACCGGUGCCGAGCCAAAGGGUGGUCCGGGCCAGGUGAUGGAAUUCAGCAAGCUGUGCUCCUCUCGCUCUUCUUCUGGUGUGGCUUUCUGGCCCAGCCGUGCACAGUAGGUGUGAUUGUGGUGGUACACCGGGACAGGUCCAGACAAAGAUGUGUGGAUGUGGCUCUGGAGCCGGGACAGCGCUGACACUGUGCUACAGUUCCAGUUCUGAAAACAGGCCAUGACAUGCAAUAUGGGAUGAAGCAUUUCAUCGGGAGAUUUUUUUGUCAGACUUUCAAGUUCUAAGUAUGUAUUUGUAAAAGUACUUGGACCUCCUUCUUCCUUGUUUGUUAUUUACCGCCAUUAAUGCGUUAUUUUUGACAGCCUACUAAUUAUACCAUCUUUUUGUCCCUGGUGGGAAAAAAUUUGGAGUGGGAGGCCACUGUAUGAGGAAAUAUUGAUUGGAGUAUGUUGAAUAUGUGUAUUUUCCAUACUUUGAAGAUAUUGUUGAUGUUGAAAUUUCAUGUUGAAUUCUAAAUCAUUCAUUCAUUUUCUACAGCUUAUCCUCACGAGGGUCGCGGGGGUGCUGGAGCCUAUCCCAGCCCUCUUGGGGCGAGAGGCGGGGUACACCCUGGACGGGUGGCCAGCCAAUCACAGGGCACAUAUAGACAAACAACCAUUCACACCCACAUUCAUACCUAUGGACAAUUUCGAGUGGCCGAUUAACCUAGCAUGUUUUUGGAAUGUGGGAGGAAACCUACGCAUGCACUGGGAGAACAUGCAAACUCCGCACAGAGAUGGCUGGAAUUGAACCUGGUUAUCCUAGCUAUGAGGCCUGCGUGUUAACCACUCUUCCUCCGUGCAGGCCAAUUCCAAAUCAUAAAGUGAAAUUGCCGUGGGCCAGCGCCGAAAAGCUGGAUCUUAAACAGUCAGAGGAUGCCCCCCAAGAUACAUGCGGUGGUCAAUAAACAAGCGAAACUUGACUCACCUCGAAAAUGCUGAUCUUGCGCAGAAGGAAGAUGAGGACCAACAGUGUUAGGAUGCCAAGGCCGUAUUUGACAAAUUUGUGGGCCAUGGUUAACCUCUUCCUGAGCUGCGGCGAUGAUGGCAUGGUCGUCAUUCUACCCUGGCAAGAGGACCAAAACCCCCAUUAAUGGAGGAGGACAUAUGUCAGCACCACCAACUGUUCAUCAGCAUCCAUGAUGCAGCGAGAUGAGCCCCGAUUGCAUGGAUCGGGGAUUGGAUAUACGUAAGUGUCGACACAAAGAUUUGACAGAUUUGAAAGACGCAUAUAAAAAAUAAGAGAGUCAGACAAACAUCAAAAAAGAUAAUGAGGAGAAAGGCAAAAUAAUUCAGGAGUUGAAAAAUACAAUUGACGACAUGGAUCAGAAUACAAGGAUGAACGACAUAAUGGUGACGGGGCUGAAGAUCAAACCCAGGUCUUAUGCCAGGGCAGCCAGGAACAGUGAGGAAGCAGACGAAAUGGACGUCGCCUCAACUGAGCAACAAGUAGUGGAUUUCUUAACAUCUAAAGAGGUAGAUGUUGACAUCGAAUCCUUCGACACUUGCAUCCCACUGUAUGGCAGGAACAGAGCCACACCCGUCGUCAUCGUCAAGUUCACAAACAGGAAAUCCAAGACCGCUGUACUAAAACAAGGAAAGAAGCUGAAAGGUACAAUGUCUACAUGAAUGACCACCUGACCAAACGUAAUGCUGAAAUCGCGAAGAAAGCACGCGUGACCUGAGAAAGCAGGGAAAGAGUGCCAACUGCAAAAUUUUCAUAAAGUUUAAUGGAGGACCGGAAGCCAGUGUGCUCGUUGUCAAAAAUAUCGCGGAUCUGGAUCAAUUCUUUUUCAACUCCAACUUGAAAAUGGAAAAAGUUUUAAACAUUACCAUUACGACACAAGAAGAUCUGCAACGAGACACCUUUGGCUUGACAAAUCACAAAAAUUGGAAUAGAUCCGGACACACAUUUUUUUCACACAUGAGAAUUGACUGUCGUUAUUAUACAGAAGAGGAAUACAACAACAAUUUAAAUAUUGGCGACAAGUUGUCAAUCAUACAUAUAAACUGCAGAAGUAUGCAUGCAAACUAUGACAACAUCAAACAAUAUUUGAAUUGUUCAAGGAACCUUUCAAAGUAAUCGCAAUCUCGGACACCUGGCUGAAUGAGGAUAAAGGCACAGACUUUGAGUUGGAAGGUUAUGAGAUGACCUGCAUCAACAGGAACAACACGAGGGGAGGAUGAGUCGCCCUGUAUGUGGACAAACAACUACAUUACAAAGUGGUAAAGAAUAUGUCAGUUGCUAUUGAUAAUAUCCUAGAAUGCAUAACAAUUGAAAUCUGUAAAGAACAAAGCAAAAACGUGUACAUAAGUUGUUUAUACAGAAUGCCACACUCAAGGAUAGAAAUGUUUGAAGAUUGGAUCAAAACAACCUUUUCAGAUAACAAUCAAAAAACUAUUUUCAUAUGUGGAGACUUCAAUAUUGACGAUUUUAUAGAUACAAUGUACAGCUUAAGUUUGUUUCCCAAAAUCACCACACAGUAGUAGAAUAACAGACCAUUGUGCCACUCUAAUCGACAAUAUAUUCACCAAGGAUUUUGAUAACAAAGCCACUAGUGGCCUGCUAAUCAAAGACAUCAGCGAUCAUCUUCCUGUGUUUACAAUUUAUAACCAUCAUUACAACAACAGACCAACGGAAACUACAAAGACUGUCCAAAGACUACGUUCUGAGGACAGAGUCAACGCUUUCAAGAAGGAUCCAGAAGAACAAAAAUGUGUGUGUACAGUGUGUACAGUGCCAAAGACAUGGAUGAAGCAUACAAACACUUUCUACAUACUUAAAUGAAGCUGUAUGAUAAGAACUGUCCCUGGAGAGAAAAGUCAAAGAAGCCAAAGAAAAACAACCAGCCAUGGAUGACAAAAGGCUUUACUAAUGCUUGCAAGAAGAAGAACACACUAUACAGGAAAUUCAUCAUUCAACAGACCAGAAUCAGACAGAACAACAAGACUUAUAAAAAUAAGUUGACUACAAUCCUAAGAGCGUGUAAGAAGGAAUAUUAUAGCCAACUAUUAGACAAGCACAAAAACAGUAUUCCAGCAACCUGGGGCAUACUAAAUAGUAUUAUCAGGAAAAGUAACAAGAAGACAGACUACCCUAAUUAUUUCAUGGUGGGAAACACCUAUAAUGAUGAUAUGGAUGAGACAGUUGAAAAGUUGAAUAACUACUGAAGGAUUGUCUGUGUGUUUGUCUCCUAUUUUUUGUGUCUCACUCAUAUAACUAUGCACUACAUUUAAUCAAGUAGAACCAGCAGCCUUGGGCAAAUCACAGGGCACAUAAUCGCUUUCAGGUACAUACAGUUCUGGAACAUCCACACAGACACGAUUUUGACUAACUACAGAUAACGGGAGGACAUGACGUCGGCAGCUGGUGAGAAGACGUCUGCCGAGGAGAGGACGGGGCCACCUGUGAUUCACCAGAGAUCUACUGACAUUUCUUAGCAUAAUAAAAGCCGGGCAGGGACAGUUAGCUGCACUCAUUUGUUCUGACCUGUAAGUAAAACCUACGUAACUGGGG